AGAAUCAACGCUGGCGGCGUGCCUAACACAUGCAAGUCGAACGAGAAAGUGGAGCAAUCCAUGAGUAAAGCGGCGUACGGGUGAGUAACACGUGACUAACCUACCCUCGAGUGGGGAAUAACCUCGGGAAACCGGGCUAAUACCGCAUAACAUCUUCGGAUCAAAUGCGUAAGCAGCUUGAGGAGGGGUCGCGGCCGAUUAGCUAGUUGGCGGGGUAAUGGCCCACCAAGGCAAUGAUCGGUA
rnacentral:rRNA from 1 species